rnacentral:rRNA from 1 species
AGCGAACGCUGGCGGCAGGCUUAACACAUGCAAGUCGAACGGGCACUUCGGUGCUAGUGGCAGACGGGUGAGUAACGCGUGGGAACGUGCCUUUCGGUUCGGAAUAAUCCAGGGAAACUUGGACUAAUACCGGAUACGCCCUUCGGGGGAAAGGUUUAUCGCCGAAAGAUCGGCCCGCGUCUGAUUAGCUAGUUGGUGAGGUAAAGGCUCACCAAGGCGACGAUCAGUAGCUGGUCUGAGAGGAUGAUCAGCCACAUUGGGACUGAGACACGGCCCAAACUCCUACGGGAGGCAGCAGUGGGGAAUAUUGGACAAUGGGCGCAAGCCUGAUCCAGCCAUGCCGCGUGAGUGAUGAAGGCCUUAGGGUUGUAAAGCUCUUUUGUCCGGGAAGAUAAUGACUGUACCGGAAGAAUAAGCCCCGGCUAACUUCGUGCCAGCCGCCGCCGUAAAAC